rnacentral:rRNA from 1 species
AAAUUGAAGAGUUUGAUCAUGGCUCAGAUUGAACGCUGGCGGCAGGCCUAACACAUGCAAGUCGAACGGUAACAGGAAGAAGCUUGCUUCUUUGCUGACGAGUGGCGGACGGGUGAGUAAUGUCUGGGAAACUGCCUGAUGGAGGGGGAUAACUACUGGAAACGGUAGCUAAUACCGCAUAACGUCGCAAGACCAAAGAGGGGGACCUUCGGGCCUCUUGCCAUCGGAUGUGCCCAGAUGGGAUUAGCUAGUAGGUGGGGUAACGGCUCACCUAGGCGACGAUCCCU